rnacentral:rRNA from 1 species
AUGAAGUUGGAAUCGCUAGUAAUCGCGGAUCAGCAUGCCGCGGUGAAUACGUUCCCGGGCCUUGUACACACCGCCCGUCACACCAUGAGAGUCGGGAACACCCGAAGUCCGUAGCCUAACCGCAAGGGGGCGCGGCCGAAGGUGGGUUCGAUAAUUGGGGUGAAGUCGUAACAAGGUACC